UACAGGGGGGGCAAGCGUUGUUCGGAAUUACUGGGCGUAAAGGGCUCGUAGGCGGCCAACUAAGUCACACGUGAAAUCCCCAGGCUUAACCUGGGAACUGCGUGUGAUACUGGAUGGCUUGAAUUCGGGAGAGGGAUGCAGAAUUCCAGGUGUAGCGGUGAAAUGCGUAGAUAUCUGGAGGAACACCUGCGGUGUAGACGGCUUACUGGACGGUAACUGACGCUGAGGCACGAAAGCGUGGGGAGCGAACAGG
rnacentral:rRNA from 1 species